GGUCCUGUAGCUCAGCUGGUUAGAGCAAGUGACUCAUAAUCGCCUGGUCACAGGUUCAAGUCCUGUCAGGGCCACC
rnacentral:tRNA from 1 species